AGCGAACGCUGGCGGCAGGCCUAACACAUGCAAGUCGAACGAACCCUUCGGGGUUAGUGGCGAACGGGUGAGUAACACGUGGGAACGUGCCUUUAGGUUCGGAAUAACUCAGGGAAACUUGUGCUAAUACCGAAUGUGCCCUUCGGGGGAAAGAGUUAUCGCCUUUAGAGCGGCCCGCGUCUGAUUAGCUAGUUGGUGAGGUAAUGGCUCACCAAGGCUGCGAUCAGUAGCUGGUCUGAGAGACUGACCAUCCAAAUUGGGACGUCGACACGGCCCAAACUCGUACGGGAGGCAGCAGUGGGGAAGCUUGCGCGAUGGGCGAAAGCCUGACGCAGCCAUGCCGCGUGGAUGAUGAAGGUCUUAGGAUUGUAAAAUCCUUUCACCGGUGAAGAUAAUGACUGUAGCCGGAGAAGAAGCCCCGGCUAACUUCGUGCCAGCAGCCGCGGUAAAAC
rnacentral:rRNA from 1 species